CAAUGGUUGUGUGAGUAGGUGAAGCGCCUGAGAAGUUUUGUCUUCUACACAAACGGUUGUUUUAAACCUCUACAGCAGAGGUUUGAGUAGUGAUUUUUAGAAGACAAGCCAUGCGUGCAGCAAACACAGUUGUCUGCUAGAGGGUGGCACUAGCAGUUUGAGGAGAGGAGACAGAGAGGAGCAGGAAAGAGAGGGAGAGCAGCAAAGAUUGAUGCAACACGGCACAAGUCAUCACUGCGACAAUGCAGAUUAAAGCAGAGGAAUGAAAAGAGGAAACAGCACGAGAAGAACCUGACAGGGCAAAAGAAGCGGAAACAAGAAAACAAGAUGCUUUGUCAGGAGCUGUAUUUGUAUGCUGCUCACAGUCCCUGUAAAUUAGAGAAGAGAGAAGUGUGAGGAGGAGAAAGGGAAAUGUGUAUAUGUAUCUGCGUUUCUGUGUUUUAGAGGUAGGAUGGGGGUAGGGAUACAAAGCUGGACAACACAGCUAAUUCAGAUAGCAACAAUUCAGAGUUGGUUUUCUCAUUUUAAUGUCCAUCAUUGAACACACACAACAAAUCUGUAUUGGCAGACUGAUUGUUGACAGUGAGCGCACACGU